ACGUCUGAUUAGCUAGUUGGUGAGGUAAUGGCUCACCAAGGCGACGAUCAGUAGCGGGUCUGAGAGGAUGAUCCGCCACACUGGGACUGAGACACGGCCCAGACUCCUACGGGAGGCAGCAGUGGGGAAUUUUGGACAAUGGGGGCAACCCUGAUCCAGCCAUUCCGCGUGAGUGAAGAAGGCCUUCGGGUUGUAAAGCUCUUUCAGCAGGAACGAAACGGUAGGGGCUAAUACCCUCUGCUAAUGACGGUACCUGCAGAAGAAGCACCGGCUAACUACGUGCCAGCAGCCGCGGCAAUACGUAGGGUGCGAGCGUUAAUCGGAAUUACUGGGCGUAAAGCGUGCGCAGGCGGAUUGUUAAGCAAGACGUGAAAUCCCCGGGCUUAACCUGGGAAUGGCGUUUUGAACUGGCAGUCUAGAGUGUGUCAGAGGGGGGUGGAAUUCCACGUGUAGCAGUGAAAUGCGUAGAGAUGUGGAGGAACACCAAUGGCGAAGGCAGCCCCCUGGGAUAACACUGACGCUCAUGUACGAAAGCGUGGGUAGCAAACAGGAUUAGAUACCCUGGUAGUCCACGCCCUAAACGAUGUCAACUGGUUGUUGGGGGAGUGAAAUCCCUUAGUAACGAAGCUAACGCGUGAAGUUGACCGCCUGGGGAGUACGGUCGCAAGAUUAAAACUCAAAGGAAUUGACGGGGACCCGCACAAGCGGUGGAUGAUGUGGAUUAAUUCGAUGCAACGCGAAAAACCUUACCUACCCUUGACAUGUCCAGAAUCCUGCAGAGAUGCGGGAGUGCCCGAAAGGGAAUUGGAACACAGGUGCUGCAUGGCUGUCGUCAGCUCGUGUCGUGAGAUGUUGGGUUAAGUCCCGCAACGAGCGCAACCCUUAUCAUUAGUUGCUACGCAAGGGCACUCUAAUGAGACUGCCGGUGACAAACCGGAGGAAGGUGGGGAUGACGUCAAGUCCUCAUGGCCCUUAUGGGUAGGGCUUCACACGUCAUACAAUGGUCGGUACAGAGGGUUGCCAAGCCGCGAGGUGGAGCCAAUCCCAGAAAGCCGAUCGUAGUCCGGAUUGUUCUCUGCAACUCGAGAGCAUGAAGUCGGAAUCGCUAGUAAUCGCGGAUCAGCAUGUCGCGGUGAAUACGUUCCCGGGUCUUGUACACACCGCCCGUCACACCAUGGGAGUGGAAUCUGCCAGAAGUAGGUAGCCUAACCGCAAGGAGGGCGCUUACCA
rnacentral:rRNA from 1 species